GACGAACGCUGGCGGCGUGCUUAACACAUGCAAGUCGAACGGAAAGGCCCUGCUUUUGUGGGGUGCUCGAGUGGCGAACGGGUGAGUAACACGUGAGUAACCUGCCCUUGACUUUGGGAUAACUUCAGGAAACUGGGGCUAAUACCGGAUAGGAGCUCCUGCUGCAUGGUGGGGGUUGGAAAGUUUCGGCGGUUGGGGAUGGACUCGCGGCUUAUCAGCUUGUUGGUGGGGUAGUGGCUUACCAAGGCUUUGACGGGUAGCCGGACUGAGAGGGUGACCGGCCACAUUGGGACUGAGAUACGGACCAGACUCCUACGGGAGGCAGCAGUGGGAAAUAGUGCACAAUGGGCGGACGCCUGAUGCAGCAACGCCGCGUGCGGGAUGACGGCCUUCGGGUUGUAAACCGCUUUCGCCUGUGACGAAGCGUGAGUGACGGUAAUGGGUAAAGAAGCACCGGCUAACUACGUG
rnacentral:rRNA from 1 species